UGCAGAGACUGCAUCUUUCAGGCAGCCCUGUGAUGAAUGAGGAAAAACCACCAAAAAGUAGGCUGGACCGACUAAACCCAUUUCUGACUUCACAAUAUUUUCAGGUAUCUGUUAAUCAUCAAUGUGUGACUGCCGAGUACGUGACUGCUGACCACCAGCUCAAAUCAGCAGACCUUUGUUCCCUGCCUACAAAGUUAGAAUUAUAACCCCCCUUUUAACCCCCCUAUAAAGUGAGCCAG
rnacentral:lncRNA from 1 species